CCUCUUGCAACUCUAUCACUUGACCUAUAACAAGUUAUUCAGAGGUUAAUAAAUGACAAACCAAAUAAAAAUGUAUUGGUUUCACAGAAAAAAAGCAUUGACUUAGCAUUUCUUUCAGCCAGCUAGAAGUAAUAUUAUUGAGACCCAGUCAACUUUGUUUUCAUACACCAGAGUUGGCUAUGGUCUAAUCUUUCACAGACUGAGGUUAAUGUUCAGUUUUUUGUUUGGUCGGUUGGUUGGUUUUGAGAUAAGGUCUUGCUCUGUCACCCAGGCUGCAGUGCAGCGGCACAACCACUGCUCACUACAGCCUCGACCUCCCAGGCUCAAGCAAUCUUCCCAUCUCACCCUCCCAACUAGCUGGAACUACAGAUGUGUGCCACCAGGCCCAGAAACCUAAACAGACUAAUAUACUAUGUCAUGAGGUAAACCUGUGGAGAGGCUCAUUUGGCAGGGGACUAAGGAUUUUCAAGAACCACAGGAGCGAGUUUGGAAGCAGAUCUCCCUCUGCACAAAACUUUCAGAUGAGACCUAAUCCUGGUUAACAGAUUGACCACCACCUACUCAUAAGGAACCUUGAAGCAGAGACACACAGCUAAGCCAUACCCAGAUUCCUUACCCACAGAAACUGAAAUAGUAAAUGUCUGCUGUAAUAAGCUGCUAAGUUUUGCUGGUAAUUUGUUAUGCAACAAUAUACAACUAAUACAUGCAAGCAACAUGCAAUGUCAGGAGACUAGGUAAAGUGGCUAACAAGAGUCAGCCCCAAAUGUAUUGCAAUUAAAAAAAAAAGAGCCAGGGAGAAACAAAAUGACAGAGAUAAGGAGGCAAAAGCAGGGAACAGCCAACUCACAAGGCAAAUGGGAGGCUAUCUUUGUGAAUCCCAGAAUUAGAGGUCCUAGAUUAGGAUUGGACUUCAACAUGCUGCAGAAUGAAAUGUUUACCUCCAAAUAUGCAUAACCAGUAAGGAAGAUGGUAUCUGAGUUUGGGUUACCCCAGAUGGAGGUGCUGAGAUAAGGAUUCAAGUGAAAGUACGUAAUUUGGAGGUGAUCACAGAAAAUAUCACUAAAGGAAAAGCAAAGCAAGGAAGGAAAGAGAAGAAAGUCAAAAAGAAUGUGUUAUUGUGCAAAUUAUCAGUGCGAGCAACUGAACUUCAAUGCCACUGGGAGAAGGGAAUUCUGGGAGAUAGGAUAGAGCAUGUAUCUCAGUUAUCUCAUCCAGGGGUAAGGGAACUGGGGUAUUUAUCCACCAACUCUGUCAGUCAUUGGUAGAGGGAGGGGAUUAAUUCCCAGCACCUAUAGCCUAUGAAAACAUAGAGAUACUAGCAAUUAGAAGUUAGCCAGUGUGCCUAGACAUAGUAAGUACCAAGGGGACAGGAGUAAGAUUCUCAGAUUAUCUGCCACAUACAGGCCCUUAAAAUAGCCUAUAGUUAUUUAGGUACCAGCUACUUAUAAUCUAAUGAAACGAAAUUUUUGAAAAUCGGUGUUAUAAAAACCUGUUGAAAUAAAAAGAGGUUGCUUUUUAAGAGAUCUGAACAGUAGCGUUUGAACUCAAAUGACCUCAGUCUCAUUUUUGCUUUAAGUGUUGAUUUGAGUCAAAGACUGUGAAAAGUUACCUAGCUUCUCUGAGCCUUAGUUUCCUUACCUGUAAAAUGGACACAGUAAUUCCUGCUGCAUUUGGUAGCUGUGAGAUAAAGUGAGGAAAGCAGGUAGGAUAAAGGCAGAUAAUCAGUUUUUAAAAGAACUUUUUAAACUUGCAAUGAUAAUUUGAUGAUGGCAACUUUGCCUAUACAAAGGAAUGUUCAAAAACAAUAAUACAGUUGACUGGGAGCAGUGGCUCACACCUGUAAUUCCAGCACUUUAGGAGACCAAGGAGGGUGGAUCACAAGGUCAUGAGUUCAAGACCAGCCUGACCAACAUGGUGAAACCCCAUCUCUACUAAAAAUACAAAAAAUUAGCCAGGCGUGGUGGUGUGCACCUGUAAUCCCAGCUACUCAGGAGGCUGAGGGAGGAAAAUUGCUUGAGCCCAGGGGAGGUCGCAGUGAGCCAAGAUUGCACCACUGCACUCCACCCAGGGCAACAGAAUGAGAUUCUGUCUCAAAAAAAAAACAAAACAGUAAUACCACUUAAAAGUCAGUAUUUCGUAUAUUUAGGACAAAAAGUUCAACAAUGCCUACAAGUAUCAAACCACUUAAUCUAUAAGACAUUGUAGAGACCAAUAUUUCUUGACAUUUUCUUUCACAUUCCAGUGUUAAAAUAUCAUUAAAAACCUAAUGUUGCUUUCAGGCACAUUAAACAAAAAAUGUAUUUCCUUAAACCUGCUUUUUCUAUAAAAUUUUCUUUAUUAAAGCUGUUAAUAUGUAAAAGUAAUAUACAGUCAAAAUGGUGACAUUUCUCUAUAUAAGUUGGCAUCAUUAGGUUAAAAAAAAACUUUAAAUUUCAAAAAUCAAAAUAGAUAAAAUGAAAGAAUUACAAAUCAAAAUUAUGAUUUUUAAUUGGAAAAUACCAGCACACACAAAAUUUAUCAAUAAAUGUGGUUUAUUGAUCAUUUACUACAAUAAAGGUGAUUGGAAACACCUUUUUUUUUGAGACAGAAUUUCCCUCUUAUUGCCCAUGCUCGAGUGCAAUGGUGUGAUCUCGGCUCACCACAACCUCUACCUCCCAGGUUUUAAGUGAUUCUCCUGCUUCAGCCUUCCAUGUAGCUGGGAUUACAGGCACCUGCCACCACGCCUGGCUAAUAUUUGUGCUUUUAGUAGAGAUGGGGUUUCUCCAUGUUGGUCAGGCUGGUCUCAAACUUCCAACCUCAGGUGAUCCGCCUGCCUCAGCCUCCCAAAGUGCUGGGACUACAGGCGUGAGCUACUGCGCCCAGCCUGGAAGCACCUAUU
ensembl:lncRNA